ACCCGCACAAGCAGCGGAGCGUGUGGUUUAAUUCGAUGCUACACGAAGAACCUUACCAGGGUUUGACAUGUUGGUGGUAGGAAUUCGAAAGAUGACCGACCCGUUCGGGGAGCCUUCACAGGUGCUGCAUGGCUGUCGUCAGCUCGUGUCGUGAGAUGUUCGGUUAAGUCCGCUAACGAGCGCAACCCUCGCUGUGUGUUACAAGUGUCACACGGGACUGCCGGUAUCAAGCCGGAGGAAGUGGGAUGACGUCAAGUCAGCAUGGCCUUUAUGUCCUGGGCUACACACACGCUACAAUGGUCGACACAAUAGGUAGCCAAGCCGCGAGGUGGAGCCAAUCCUUAAAGUCGGCCUCAGUUCAGAUUGUAGGCUGCAACCCGCCUGCAUGAAGAUGGAGUUGCUAGUAACCGCAGGUCAGCUAUACUGCGGUGAAUACGUUCCCGGGGCUU
rnacentral:rRNA from 1 species